rnacentral:rRNA from 1 species
UGGGGAAUAUUGCACAAUGGGCGAAAGCCUGAUGCAGCAACGUCGCGUGAGUGAUGAAGGCCUUCGGGUUGUAAAGCUCUGUCUUUUGGGACGAUAAUGACGGUACCAAAGGAGGAAGCCACGGCUAACUACGUGCCAGCAGCCGCGGUAAUACGUAGGUGGCAAGCGUUGUCCGGAUUUACUGGGCGUAAAGGAUGCGUAGGCGGAUUUUUAAGUGAGAUGUGAAAACCCUAAGCUUAACUUGGGGACUGCAUUUCAUACUGGAAAUCUAGAGUGCGGGAGAGGAGAAUGGAAUUCCUAGUGUAGCGGUGAAAUGCGUAGAGAUUAGGAAGAACACCAGUGGCGAAGGCGAUUCUCUGGACCGUAACUGACGCUGAGGCAUGAAAGCGUGGGUAGCAAAACAGGAUUAGAUACCCUGGUAGUCCACGCCGUAAAACGAUGAGUACUAGGUGUAGGAGGUAUCGACCCCUUCUGUGCCGCAGUUAACACAAUAAGUACUCCGCCUGGGAAGUACGAUCGCAAGAUUAAAAACUCAAAAUGAAUUGACGGGGUC